CUGUGAAAAGACUUCCCUGCUGCCUCUCCAGAGUGUGCUCAUUCUUCCUAAGCAGCUGAUUAUGGACUGAAACCUCUACAAAUUCCAGAUUCUUCAGGAGGACAGGAAGCAGGUUGAAUGCUAAAGGACAUGGCAGGAACUUUUCUCCAGCAGUUCCUCAGGAACAAAUGGGAAAAGCCAUGUGACCAUGACAGAGCUACUUUGCCCCAUGCCCCACAGUGCUGGCCUUUGGAUGCUAAGCGGAGCUGUUCCUGGACUUGUCUUCAGCAAGUACUUUGUGACAUUCUUAGAGACCCUUUGAGAUCAAAGUCAUGAGGGAGGUCUCAGUUAUUCUUGCUCUGUGAAACAGUUAUGAGAUUACCCUCCUUGUCUACUGGGGGCAGACAGUCAUGGCACCUCAGAACACUGCCACAGAAAGAAAAUGAGAAAAAACUUCACUUCUCGGUUCCUGGAUGCCAUCAGCAUAGCAGCAAAUA